rnacentral:lncRNA from 10 species
GCAUGGGGUGGGUAAUAGGGCAUGUGAUUUGAAUGAGUAUUCCCAGCCAUUUAAUAUAUUCACAAGUCAAACUAUAAAGUAUUUCUUUAAAAAAAUUAUAGUAUUUCACUGAAGUUUGAAUGUACUUUCUCUUGCCAAAAUAAUCAGAGUCUUUCAUUUUUCUAAUGAUAAAAAUGUGCUACAUGUGUAGGAAAAUUUCCCAAAUGAAAAAUAACAUUUUCUAUGGCAGCACAUACAGUGCUUGAAUUUUUCACCUUAGAUUUUAUUCUAGCCAGACCUAAACUCUGUCUUACUUGCAUAAUGAUAAUUCAUGUCGUCAAACCAAACGCACUGUUUGCUGCUCGUUUGUCCAGGAGCCAUCUUUUCCUAAAGUGAGCAAUAUUACGUGCAUUUUGUCUGGCUGGCCGAGGGCUCCUCCCUACAGCUUCUGCAGCCAUGGAAGAGUCUGGAAGGACAGUGUUCGCUUGUACAAGAAGAGGGAAGGAUAGGAUGAGAAAAGCAAAAUCUUGGAGAGUCUGUGGUCGGAAGAAGAAAGCUGAAGCUGGUUAGGAGGAAGGAGUGUGUGAGUGAAUUAGGAGCUGAAGCAGUAAAGUAGCUUUCCCUGUGACCCUGAUGUGUCGGGCAUUUCUGUCUUAGACUAAAAGCAUAAUAAAAAAGGCACUUUGUUUAGGUUAACAGAGCAUUAUAUAACUGGAAAGUUUUACAGUUUUAUAUAUAUAGUGAAUAGUUUGUAGAGGAUAAAAAGACUUCCCUUUGGUUUAUUAUUUGGGUAAAAUAAAAACCCACGAAUCAUUUAAGGAUGCAUUUCUUUUUCUUUUUUCUGCCUUUUUUUUUUUAAGACAAAAGCUUGAAGGCAUAAAAUGGAGUUAUUUUCAUCGGGAUAUCACCCUCGAUGCUGCUGCUUUACUACAUGUUCAUAGUCAAAAUUAUUUCAUGUUUCCCUUGAAUAACUACGAUCAGUUUGAAAACAGCUUUGUUAAUUAGUAAGAGAUGACGCAAUAUAUCACUGCAUCUUUAGGGCUCUGGCGCCAGCUAGUGGUAGGAGAGGGGAGCCGCCCUGUCGCUCUCAAAUCUGGGAAGGCGUCGGUCUUCUCGCGUCCCCUUAUCCCUCAUCCUCCUCAUUUUUUUUUUCCAUCAGCAUAAUGGGGGAAUCAUUGCAGUGUGGCCAGAGAGGAGCAGACGAGAUUAUAGAUGAAAGUAGAGAAAAACGGUGGGCAGGGGCAGGGAGAGGAAAGGCCAGACAAAUGCAAUCAUUUCUCCAAAGGAUUUGAGAAGAGAUCAUUUAUUUGAAAUAUUCCUGCCAUGUUGAUGGAGCAGCUCAAUCUUUUGCCAGUGAAUCUUUAGCGUUUUGUUUUUCAUUUGUAGAUAUGGUUGAACAUAUACUUAGGACACGUAAUAACUAUGGAACUUCAUCACAAACACAGCACUGAGGACAUGUUAAGGAGACAUGCAUACAAGGAGAAUGCCAGGUGAACGUGAAGACCAUCAUUUGCAAGCCAAGAGAGGCCUGGAGCAGAUCCUUCAGAGCCCUCAGAAGGGACCAACCCUGCUGGCACCUUGAUUUUGGACUUCCAGCCUCCAGAACUAAGAACUUGAUGUAUACCUCCUGACCUGUUCAUCUUGUAGCUGCCUCUUGACAGGUGCCAAGAACUGUGAUUUGUGCUACAGAUACACAGUCUCCUUUCUCAAAGUGUUCUGAGUUCAGUUGGGUUGACAGGCAAGUGAACAGAACAGAUAUUUGCAGUAGGAGGAGAAUGAUAUACUAAAGGACUGCAACCUGGAACAAGGAGAGACAAAGGGAAGGAGGAGUCUGGAGCCAUAUUGAAGAUGAAAUUGAGAUAUGGACUAGGUGGUGGAUCGUUUUUAUAAGAGGACAUAAAAGAGGAUGCUAAAGCUAAUUGCCACAAUCAGAACUCAAAGACCUAGCAAAUGCAAGGUGGUAUUUAUUCUAAACUCAGCAAAGUAGUAGAAAAAUAGUUUUGAGAACAGUUUUAAGGAGACUAGGGUAACAGUGAGAAAAUAGUUCAUGGCUAGUCUGGACUUAGGACUUUAGGGUCGGCCUGGUGAAUUGAAGGGAAGCAGCUGAUACACUCUGGUUGCCUUGUACCCUGGCUUUUGGUGCUUUCCCAUGUGCUGUAGUCAUCAGUAAUCUGGAGGAAAUGCUAUAGAGGCAAAGACACCAUUAGAUGGGUGCUCAACUAGCAAACAGGAUGUGACCACAGAGUAGUUACCCCAAGACCAGGUCAGCAUGACCCAAAAGGCAGAAGAGGACAAGGUUUAUGAGUGUUGGGCUGAGCUCACGCCUGCUUGAACAUCUCAAGAACAAUGUUAAUGAUGGAAGAGAGAGAUAGGAGAGGAAACUCAUUAAACUUGCCAAAUAUGAGAUGUAGCUGGGUUGGCUCUAUGUAAGCAUGGCAGAAAAGCAUUUAGAAGUCAUAAUACAUUUAAAAUAAGAGCUACCAGCAUAGCAGUGACAUGAAGAAGGCAUGUGUUUUGUUAAAAAGUUUUAAAUACUCCUAUAAAAGAUAGUAAGGUACAAGUUGUUUGCUUGAUCAGCAAUGCUAAUUGCCUUUGAAGUGCAUGCCUGGGGAUUCCAUGGAGAGAGGACCCUGUUUCUCCACCCCAACCCAAAUUCACUGAGUUUAUGUCAGAAUGUUCAGAAGCCCCUUUACAAAUUCCUCUGAUUGCCUUGUUAGACACUGGCCACCUCCCUGAACCUGGGCCAAGAUGAGGGUCUACACCUUGGCUUAGUUCUACUAUGAAAGACUUUCCUGCAGUAAAAGUUACCUGUCUGAAACAUUCAGAAGAGUGAAAAUGCCACAUCUCCAAUUUCCAGCAAUAUAUUUGUCUGCCAUGAUUUGGCCUGGAAGCUUAAGCAGGAAGACCACUUGGAGCCAGACUUCAGAGUGAUCUGUCUCUAAGGAAUAACUUUCAUAUUGCAGCGUUCGGUUUUGCAAUUCUUCCUAAGCUACUCUAAAUUCGCAGCAUAAAUCUGCAGAAAGACUUCACCCUCCACAUCAAACCCUUAUAAGGAUCCAUUUCUGCUCUCAUUUUAGAAUAUCUUUUCUAAUAGCUAAAGGCAGACAGAGGCAAACCAAGAAAUCCAGACUUUGCAUCAACGGGUUAAAUCAUAUGUCAAAGGUGCAACCAUAACGUAUUACAAGCUUCUCAUCACAUAAUACAUCACUCAAGAAAAAAUAUUUGGGCAGCUUUUCUAAUUCAUCUUCCUGGUGUUAAAGGAGCACAUCUCCAGUGUUCGUGUCUUCUGUUUCAAUUAAAGCAAUCAUGCCUACUCUUUUAGGAAACUACUAAGGUUUAUUACCUCUUUGUUUCACUGCUAAUAUUCAGCUUCUCCUUGUGGUCUCCCCUUCCAAAUACAUAUUUUUUUCUUUCUAUCCGGUUUUGCUUCUCACCACAAUAUACACUUGUGGCUAUUGUUUGAUAAAAUGGCCACUAUAAAGAUGUAACUUGCUUAACAAAUAUCAGCAAGUGUUUAUGGUUUCCUGUGUACUUGAUGCACUGAGUGGGUGGAAGUGGGUAAGAGAAAGAUGAGGUGGUUCAUGUUCCCAGUAGGAAGAGAGAAUGUCAAUACUCAAAAUAGCUAGAAAACAAUUCACCAUCAGUAUUGAGACAGGCAUUUCAUUACUGUAUGGGUAAUAAUUAAGAAAUUUAAAAUAAAAACAUUGGCCCUCGU